rnacentral:rRNA from 1 species
GUUAUGUCAUACUUCCAAGAAAAGCUUGCACUGUCAUAGAUAAAAAACGCCUGUACCAUAACCGACACAGGUGGGUAGGUAGAGUAUACUAAGGGGCGCGAGAUAACUCUCUCUAAGGAACUCGGCAAAAUAACUCCGUAACUUCGGGAGAAGGAGUGCCUUAUUCGUAAGGUUGCAAUAACAAGAUCCAAGCAACUGUUUAUCAAAAACACAGGUCUCCGCUAAGUCGUAAGACGAUGUAUGGGGGCUGACGCCUGCCCAGUGCCAGAAGGUUAAAGAAGUUGGUUAGCAAUUGCGAAGCUGAUAACUGAAGCCCUGGUGAACGGCGGCCGUAACUAUAACGGUCCUAAGGUAGCGAAAUUCCUUGUCGGGUAAGUUCCGACCCGCACGAAAGGCGUAAUGAUUUGGAUACUGUCUCGGAGAGGGGCUCGGUGAAAUAGACUUGUCUGUGAAGAUGCGGACUACCUGCACCAGGACAGAAAGACCCUAUGAAGCUUCACUGUAACUUGAAAUUGAAAUUGGACUUUAUUCGCGCAGUAUAGGUGGGAGGCGUUGAUUAUAAUCUUGUGGGAUUAUUGGAGCCAUCAGUGAGAUACCACUCUUGUAAUGUUAGAUUUCUAACUUUGAAUCAUUAUCUGGUCAAAGAACAGUUUCAGGCGGGCAGUUUGACUGGGGCGGUCGCCUCCUAAACGGUAACGGAGGCGUACAAAGGUUUCCUCUGAACGGUUAGAAAUCGUAUCUAGAGUGUAAAGGCAUAAGGAAGCUUGACUGUGAGACCUACAAGUCGAGCAGGGACGAAAGUCGGUCUUAGUGAUCUGACGGUACUGAGUGGAAAGGCCGUCACUCAACGGAUAAAAGUUACUCUAGGAUAACAGGCUGAUCUCCCCCAAGAGUUCACAUCGACGGGGAGGUUUGGCACCUCGAUGUCGGCUCAUCGCAUCCUGGGGCGGUAGUACGUCCCAAGGGUUGGGCUGUUCGCCCAUGAAAGCGGUACGCGAGCUGGGUUCAGAACGUCGUGAGACAGUUCGGUCCAUAUCCGGUGUAGGCGUUAGAAUAUUGAGAGGAGCCUUCUUUAGUACGAGAGGACCGAGAAGGACAUACCUCUGGUGUACCAGUUAUCGUGCCAACGGUAAACGCUGGGUAGCUAUGUAUGGAGUGGAUAACCGCUGAAAGCAUCUAAGUGGGAAGCACACCUCAAGAUAAGUAUUCUCAUC